rnacentral:hammerhead_ribozyme from 1 species
AUCCAGAUGACGAAUCGCAAAUUGAACGAAACGCAUGUCCUGGAU